AGAGAGAGAGAGAGAGAGAGAGAGAGAGAGAGAGCUAAAACUGGAUUGAAGGCAUGCGUGGGUUAACAGUGGCCGUGGGUGCAGUGAUGCUGUUGGUGUUCCAAAACCUGCUAUCUUUCUCUGAAGCCCGGUGGCAGUGGGAGGGAGGAAUUUGGGUGUUGGUGGCGGAUACCCCCUCUCUUUAAAUUGCAACAAAACAAAGACCAAGAGAGAAACAGAGACCAUCCUUUCUGCUCUCCUGCUGCUGCUGCUGCUGCUGCUGCUGCUGCUUUCUGCUAUUAUGACUCAUUCCAACAUUGCAUCGCACUGCUAAGCACUCUGGAAGAAGCUGAAGCCACGCCACUGAACACAUUGCAAUGUUUGCCAAAUACGCUCACACUAGCAGCAAUAGGAGCAGUCUGCGGCCACCCAGGAAUGGGUUGGGGGCAGCUGUCUCCACUUUAGCCUUCCCUAGGAACGCCCCUAUUUGGACAAUAUUUUUGUAGGCUCAUAUUUGAAAUAAUGUUUUACACAGAGAAAGAACAUGGCCUCAAGGCUUUUUAUAUAUUACAGGAGAGAAAGAGAGAGAGAGAGAUUUUGGGUAAAAAUUGUGGGAAAAUGCAUAGAGGUUGCCAAAGAGUUUUGACUACUGGUUAGAGAUAGCAACUAUGCAAGGCCUUAUUUGGUUGGUGAGUGAUGAGUGAAAAUACUUGAAUAAGUACUUUUAUUCCAAGAUAUUGCUGUAUCGCAUCUUUUUGGCUUUUGCUUUUAAAGAAUAUCUAAAAGUUUAUUUGGUUGGAAGAUUUUAAUACAUAACAUGGUUUUAAACCUUUUUUUGGGUUGGAUAGGCAGGACUAAAUGGAUCAGUACUCUCUUUGUUCAAAAUUCUUUCAAUAAUAAUAAUAAUAAUAAUAAAGCAUCCUAGUGCACAAGAUUCCAACUUUUAGAGAGGGUUAUAUGUACAUAACCUUAGUCUCAUGCAAAAUCUCUUCGAUUAUCUGAAUAAAAUUAUUUGGCCUCUCCAGAAUACUUUAUUCAACUAGAAGCGGUUAUGUACCCUACUAUUGCAAGGUUAUCUUAGAAUGGCCUUUUCAUGUCUGACUAAGUAAACAUUUCAUUUACAACUUCUCAUGAAACAUUGCCUAAAGGAAAAAGAUAAAAUAUUAAUUAUGUAUUAUAAAACAUUGCCUAUGGAUCUUGAUUUGCCAAGUGCUGCUACUAAAGCUACCUCCAACAGUGUUAUAAAGCUUUUGUAUAUUUUUCCUCAUAAUCUUGAUCCACGUUAUCAUCAAGCUCCACAAUAUCACAUAACAAUCAAGGAUAUUAGUAAUAUGUAAUUCAUGAGCGUUCAUCUAUGAAUCACAAAUAAUUCACGAACAACUAAUGAUAUUCAUGAAUUAUUGACAAAUAUAUAUGCUGGAGCAGUCACAUGGCUCAUAAAAUGUUCAUGAAUUAUUCAUUUUUUUCUUUUAGUUUGAUGAAUAUGCCAAUAUUAUGAAAAAAUCAAAUGAGACAAGAGGGUGAGUAGUGACUGAAAAAUCCUUACAGAAAUCACAAGGAACAUGGAUUUGAGUCUUGGAUGCCCGGUAUGGUGUUUUAUUUUAGGCACAUUCUCAGUGCACUAUGUCAGCACAUACACUACAAUGGCCACAGCUCUUGGCAUUAGUUGACAGUAACAGCAGUCUAAGGGAACCUCCAAUCCAUUAUAUACAUAAUGACAAUUAUAUAUCCAGGUUAUAUUCAAAUAUACAGCAGCCUUAGUUCCAUUAUGACACUGUCACAUAAUCAAAUAUUUAAUCAACACCUCCUAGAUCUUAAUAUGGAAAAAAAAUAAUAUAAAAUUCUUAUUAUUUGGUCAAAUUGCCAUCACUUCCUAUUAUAGAUAAAUAAAACUAUACAAAAUAGAUUUUUGUUUUAGCUUUAGCACCAUUCACAUCUGUUCUCACAUAAAUGUUUUGGGCCAUGACCAACAUGUAGCAACAACUUGUGUUAUUAAAGAAUUGGAAUAGCUGAGGAAGGAGUGCAAAGAUAUUGCACUCACACAGCAUUGCAUCCUUCUGAUAUUUGUGACAAGUAGUGAUUGGAGGGGUGGUAGCUUAUAAGCCCUCACAUAAAUCAUGCCAUGCCCAGAAAAAAGCCAAAAAGGAUUUUAUUGUAGAAUGGAGCCCCACCCAUGCCUGUGUCCAGAAAGAAACAGUGAACUGCUGCUGGGGGUAUCAAUUCUAUCUCCUUUGAGUGAGUUCCAGACUACAUGCUUUUAGGUUGCUUUAUGGUCACUUGUUCAAGAUGCAAUGGCCAGCAAGUGGAAGGCAAUGAUCCAACCCAGGUCCAUAUGUUCCUCAUUUUAGUUCCAACUUUCACGUUGUGUACCAACAAUGCACUUCUUUAGUGAGGUGUACCAUCACAAGCAUCAGAUAAAAUGUCUUAAACCAAAUCAUAUCCAGAAACUCCAUUAAACUACUAAGGAUUUAGAUAAAGGUAUUAAAGGAGACUGAGCAGACAGUACUCUGGUGACCAACAUGAGAUCAGAUCACCUUCCUGCAACCUUACCUCUAUAAUUCUCCUUCAUGCC
rnacentral:lncRNA from 1 species